rnacentral:lncRNA from 1 species
CCCAUCUUGCCUCCCAAAGGGCUGGGAUUACAGGCCUGAUCUACUGCAUCCAGCGCGAAAAGUGGUUUCUUGAGAUGGCAUCUACUCCCAGGGAUGAGGCUGUGAACAUUAUUGAAAUUACAAUAUAGGAUUUAGAACAUUACAUAAACUUUUACAAGGAAUUACAUAGAUAGGAAAAAGAGCAAAAAUUAAAAAUACUAAAAUGACACCAACAACAAAAGAAUAUUAUAUAAACUUAGUUGAUAAAGCAGCAGUGGGAUUUGAGAGUACUAACUCCAGUUUUGAAAGAAGUUGUACUAUGAGUAAAAUGCUAUCAAACAGCAUCGCAUGCUACAGAGAAAUUGUUCAUGAAAGGAGGAGUCAAUCAAUGCAGCAAACUUCACCACUGUCUUAUUUUCAGAAAUUGCCAUGGCUACUCCCACCUUUAGCUACGACCACCCCGGUCAGUCAGCAGCCAUCAACAUUGAGGUCUUGAUUCUAGAGUUCAUCACUUCGAAUAAUUGUCUCCCUCACCAGAUUUGGAGCUCCUGUUGAGGAAAAACACUUUGAAUAAAUCAAUAUCUGGAACAAAAGCAAGAAGGACCUCACCAGAUGCUGCCCCUCAAUCUUGGAUUUCCUGGCCUCCAGAACUGUGAGCCAAUAAAUUUCUAUUCAUUCUGAAUUAACCAGUCUGUGGUAUUCUCUUAUAGCAGCACAAAAUGAACUGAGACAGGUGUGCUCACUCAGUGAAAAUGUUUUGAACUGCAUGCUUAUGCUUAUGAAUUGUUAACUUCUCUGCGUGCAUGUUACAUUUCAAUAAAAAAAGUUUACUCAGAAACAUAGAUGUUCCUCCCAUAAUUUCUAGAGAGAUUUUCUCCAAAUACAAAAUGAGGUUCUGAAAUCAGCAAAUUCUUAUUUAGCUCCAUGAGUUCCAAGCCACUCCCCACCACUCCCACCCCAGAUCCCAUGCUGUAUGUCCUCAGUGUUUCCAAUAAAUGUGUAUGUACAGGCAUGCGCAUACCGUGCACACAUACAUAAACACAUGCACACAUUUCUCCUUGCUUUCUCUUCCAAAUGUGAGCUUUGCUAUACAUUGCUGGUGCAUACAGCACUCUGCUUGGCACUUAGUACGUAUUACUUCAUUUAGUCCUGAACACUAUCCUCUAAGGCAGUCAUAAAUUUCUCUAUUUUAUGAAAUCUGAGGUCCAGAAAGAUGAGAUAACUUGCUGCAAAUCACAGAGCUAAUGAGGUCUCAUUGACUUUACAGCCCCUUGCUUUUCCGCCACUAAAACUUCCUUCUUAUUAAGCAAGAAGAUAGCAACUCAAAAGCUAGUAAUGUUAAGACAAAAAUUAUAUAGUUAGUUUAUCUGUCUCCAUUUACAGAUGGGAAAACAGAAGAAAAAGUGACUGGCCCAAGGUUCCAUGCUGGGUGGUCAUAAUUUCAUGUAUUAACUAUUCACUGCAAGAAUUAUGUAGGGAAAAAUAUAUAGGUAAAAACAAAGUCUAAAGAACUAUAAAAGAAUAGAUAGAGCAUAUGCAAUUUUACAA